CCUACGGGAGGCAGCAGUAGGGAAUCUUCCGCAAUGGACGAAAGUCUGACGGAGCAACGCCGCGUGAGCGAAGAAGGUCUUCGGAUCGUAAAGCUCUGUUGUUAGGGAAGAACAAGUACGGGAGGAAAUGACCGUACCUUGACGGUACCUAACGAGGAAGCCACGGCUAACUACGUGCCAGCAGCCGCGGAAAUACGUAGGGAGCAAGCGUUGUCCGGAUUUACUGGGUGUAAAGGUUGCGUAGGCGGCCCUGCAAGUCAGGUGUGAAAACUAUGGGCUUAUAUCAUAGAUUGCACUUGAAAGUGUGGGGCUUGAGUGAAGGAGAGGCAGGCGGAAUUCCUGGUGUAGCGGUGAAAUGCGUAGAGAUCGGGAAGAACACCAGUGGCGAAGGCGGCCUGCUGGGCUUUAACUGACGCUGAGGCACGAAAGCGUGGGUAGCAAACAGGAUUAGAUACCCUUGUAGUC
rnacentral:rRNA from 1 species